rnacentral:rRNA from 1 species
AACGAACGCUGGCGGCAUGCCUAACACAUGCAAGUCGAACGAGACCUUCGGGUCUAGUGGCGCACGGGUGCGUAACGCGUGGGAACCUGCCUUUAGGUUCGGAAUAACUCCCCGAAAGGGGUGCUAAUACCGGAUAAUGUCUUCGGACCAAAGAUUUAUCGCCUUUAGAUGGGCCCGCGUAAGAUUAGGUAGUUGGUGGGGUAAAGGCCUACCAAGCCGACGAUCUUUAGCUGGUCUGAGAGGAUGAUCAGCCACACUGGGACUGAGACACGGCCCAGACUCCUACGGGAGGCAGCAGUGGGGAAUAUUGGACAAUGGCGAAAGCCUGAUCCAGCAAUGCCGCGUGAGUGAUGAAGGCCUUAGGGUUGUAAAGCUCUUUUACCAGGGAUGAUAAUGACAGUACCUGGAGAAUAAGCUCCGGCUAACUCCGUGCCAGCAGCCGCGGUAAUACGGAGGGAGCUAGCGUUGUUCGGAAUUACUGGGCGUAAAGCGCACGUAGGCGGCGAUUC